GCCAUGCUUGUCCUGACGCUUACAGAUUCACCUCAACCCUCACUUCUGCCACCGAAACUUUUCCUGAGCAGCAUGUGGUGGAGAACACGGCACACGGUGGCACACGGUGGCACACGGUGGCAAUCGUAUCUGCUGAAUGAAUGAAUGAUUAAUUUGCUGCUUGGCCUUCAGUCAGCAACUGUAGCUUUCUGAGCCUCAGUCAUCCAUCUGGAAAUGGAUGAUAGUAACAGCUACUUUCCCAUUUGUUUCAAGGACAAUCAGCUCAGAGCAUGCGGUGUGGAAUUCUAAUGACUGACGCAGCCUUGUUUUGACUCACACUGUCUGUGAACACACAACUCGAAAGUGAAAGGAACUACAGAACACUCCGGCUGAACGCAUCAAACUGCCUGCUUCGAACAAAAGUGCAUUUUACUUUCAAAUGAAAGGUAAAGAGUUACUGGCCAACUCCGUCUGCGAAACAGCACCGAUGUGAUGAAAGAUGGCAAUUUUUAGCCAAGCUGCCAGCUGUGGUCAAUGCCUUGUAUUAGUGAAUUUUCACAGCAGUUUGAGAACUUGAAGAAUGCAAAGGAUUAAACAUCACUCUAGAUUGGGCUGGGGGAGGUGGGGAAAUCAUACAAAUGCUAAAAAUGUUCGAAGCUGCAAAGAUUAAAUAAAGGAACAUAUCAAUUUGGAGCCACUGAAUUACAUCCAGCUGCGACAGUGAAUUAAGAACCGAUUAAUGGCUAAAGCUUUUCUCCAGUUUGGAUGCUGAA